rnacentral:lncRNA from 1 species
CAGUUGCACAAUUUGCUACCACCGAUAGAAUUGGUGCGGUCAGUGACGAUAUAAUCCAGGCUAGAAUCAGUUUGUCUUGCCUUAUCGUUACUGCAGUGUUCAGCACAACCUUCCCAGUGAGGUAGUGAUCUAGCUCAUUCCCCGCUAGGUGUGCUGCAAAUUGUAUCCGCCAAGCAUAAUAGUUGUUGCGGUCCAGAGAAACGGUCUUCAAAUUCUUGAUCAUGAUGACCUUCGUUUGCUGAUCAUCACCAAGAAUUUGCGUCGUCUCAUCCAAUUCUCCGUUCAUCGCCAUGAUUGGAUGCAGAAAUUCCAAUGCUGAAUGAACAAAAACAGAGAAUGAUACUAGAUCGAUCUCAACAGAAAUUCUCCCCAAGAUCUUAACAGGCAACUGAUACCAUAUGAGUGAAACAGGAAAAAUAGGAUAUGGGGGAAUCAAGUGAUCGACCCCUCUAAACAUAUAUUAGAUGUGUUUAUAUACACUUGAGUUUAAUAUUAGAUCUUAACUGAAUUCAGUUAAGAUCUAAUCUACACUAACUAAUUACAAUUAGUAUUAUAAGGGUUAAAUUAUAAUUACAAACAAAUGAAAACAAAUAGCCUUAUUUAAUAUCACUAAUACUCUAUAUCGUGACAAUAAAUCUGCUAUACACCUAGCUAAUAAUCCAGUUUUCCAUGAAAGAACUAAACAUAUAGAGAUUGAUUGUCAUUUUAUAAGAGAAUUGAUAAAUCAAGGAAAAAUAUUGAUAAAAAAUGUUGGAACUAAAUUUCAACUUGCAGAUUUUCUAACAAAGGCAUUGGGAGAUAAGGAAAUUAAUACAGCUCACUCUAAGCUAGGAAUACUAAAUAUAUAUUCCAAGGCUUGAGGGGGAGUAAAGGAUUUAAUAAACCUAAAAACAGUAAUCAAAGAAUAAACAAAAUGACUGUAAUUCUAUUAAACUGAACUCAGGACUAAAUUGUAAUUUCUAUUAAGUUUAGUACUUGUUAAUAGUUUUCUGUUAAGUGUUUACUGUGCAGGUAAUUUACCGAACAGUUAAGUUUCGGAUAUAAAAGAAGCUGGAGGGCUAAUGCGCAAUAGUUUCAAUAAAAGAAAAUGGACCAAUUAUAUACAGGCCAGAUUCAAGUGUUGAGCUACGAAUUAAUAGAAUUUAGUUGAAAGUUAGUUAUGUAAUAGUUAGUAAAAUUAUUAUAAAACUAAUUGUAAUUAACUCUCAAAUAAAUUCAUUAUAAUACAAGUUUAUUUCCCUCUAAACCCGGUUCUCUUAACCACCGGUUUACUUUGGUUAAGCGACGUUCAAAUCGCGAUUUUCCUCCUUCUUGCUGAUGGCGAUUCCGGCGGACAACUCUGCCGACCCUACGCCAGUCAUCUCUCCAAUACGAGCGCUUUGUCGUUUUAACAGAUAGAAUAUAUUUACAGUUUUUUUUUCAGUAAUAAAAUAAUGAAAAAAGGGAUUGUAUACCAUACCACCUCUACUUCACAGGAACUUGCCAUUUUCCAAUUUUUCUAUUGAAUGUACCCAUGGAAUUAAUAGAUUGUUUAUUUUUUCAAUCAAUUUAUAUUCUUCAGUUUUAACUAUUUUAUUUCAUAGAAGGUAAUGAUGUCAGUCCGGAAGGGGAUUCUGGCACCACAACUGAACAAGUGAAUGCGCCCAACUGGCCGGAAUAACCCGAUUGACGACGACGGUCGGACUACUGGCCGGGCGAUUCCAGAUCGGAAAUAAUUUCCGGUGGGAGAAUGGGGAUGGAGGUUUAGAGGAAAGUCUGCGGAAAAGCAUUUAAAAUUAAAAGGUAAAUAAAAGUCACCAGAGGGACUUCGCUGCGUUCACCGGAGAAACUCCUCGCCGCGUCGCCGGAAGUUGGGUUGGGAAAUCGCCGGAGAGUGUAAGGAGGGAAGAAAAGACGAUGUGGGAUUUGGGGAUUUUUGGGUAGGUUUAAUUUAAGAGUUUGGGUUUAAAUACUUAUUUUAUAAAUGGGUAUUUUAUAUUUUUAACUUUUGAAUUAUCAACUUUAGUAUUUUAUUUUAUAAAAAUUAUCAACUUUUAAUUUUAAAAAGAUUCGCGGUUUAACAUAAAAAUUACACAUUUAAGGACAGUCUAUCAUAAAGCCGUAAUAAUUACACACGACUUUUUCAUAAGUCGUCCAUAAUUAUUUCUCUUCCCAAAAAAAUCAAGUUAUUUAGAGACGGCUUAUUAAAAUACCGUUCACCAAAAAACCAUCACCAACCCUUAAAAAAUUUCAUAAUUAGGGAGGGCUUUUGCAAGCCAUCGCUAAAUCCGUCUCUACAAGUUUGUUUUCUUGUAGUGUUUAUGAUCUUUUCAGCUCCUCGUAUUAGGAUAUGCACUGUCUUUGGGUAUGCAAACUCCUAGCCAACAAGUAUACAGCUCCGCAUUGUCGCACUAUCUCGUGUAAAUAAGUAUUGGUCGUUGAUAGAUUCCUCAAGAAUACUCGUGGUUCUGGACAAAAUUUCUUUAUUACUGUAUUUAUGAUCAAGGUUCGGCCAGUCAACCCAUAGGGCCAGGGGAUUUUCUCCAGUGGAGCUUCUGCUUCCAAAUUAAGAGGAACCAUACCAAAUUAUUUUUUUACCAAUGUCCUCGCACAAUCUACCCGUGACCUGAACUGCAGUUUAAACAAAUAUUUCACUUCUCUCUCAAUCUUAAUUGGUGAUGUUGAUUUCUAGUUAUAAUUUACCCACUCAUUUAAGUUACGCUUUGUUACAAGCAUGCGAAAUGUUAUCAACCAACGUACGCUCGAUAAAUGAAAGCAUUUGUGGAAGCCUUCUACCUGUCAUUGAUGUUAGUGAUACCAAGUCAUGUACCGAGAAUACGACCUGCAAAAUAGGACCUCAAGAGCCCUUAAAAAAGCCUGAGCUCGGAAGCUCGAGAAAGAUUGGACAUCACAAGCAGACAUGGGCUUUCAGCCAAACCCAGACUGGAUAAUUCCUCUCUUGUUUAUAGACUGAGAAUGGGGUUGAUUGGGAAUUAGACCAAAUCUAGGGAUCGAAUUAACCAUAUUCUAGGUCAGUCGGAUCAUAGUGAAUGGUGGGUGGUAGGGCAGUGGACCUUAUUAGGGGAGGUGAACUUGACCUGUCACGAUGAGCUCCUAAUAGAGUCGAUUCCCAAGACUUGAUUAGACAAUGGUAAUUGAAAAGAUCAGAUCAGAACUUAGGAUUAGAUCUGGAUAAUCUGAUGGUAACAAGAAUUCACUCAACUAAUUCCAAUGAAAUCCACCAAUGGAACAGUGAUUCCCAUUUGUGGAUUCCACCAGAUUUAGUAGAAAUCAAGAAAUGUAAAAGAAGUAGAGAUGGAAUAAUACUUCAAUUUAGAAAGAUAAAUUCAUAAAGUUCCACUCCCUUUUAUACUUGGUGAGGAGUAAGUCUUGUUGAUUAGGUCACCACACAUGAUAGUUAUAUCAAGAUACGAGGUGUUAUAUAUAUAUUGCAAACAAGGUAAUUGAAUGAGUUGCGUGUAAGAUAGGUGCGAUAUAUAGAUUAUAAGAUUACUGGAAAAGGGGUGCGAUAUAUUUUGUUCGAGGAAGAAGUGCGAUAUAUAAAUCGAUAUAGGGCGAAUUAUAUCAAUUUACAAUGGUCGAAAUAAGAGAAUUGACUUUGUCAGAAUCAGAAUCAGGUCUCUCCCCCUUCUAAUGCUGCUCCUCUUUUUCUGUUUAAGUAUUUAUACUCUUCAUUCUUUGCAGUUCUUUUUAUUGUGCAAACUCAAAUGAAUGUAUUUACUUGAUAAAAAUGGGAUUACAUAGAUUUGGAUUAAAUAGAUAUUGGAGGAUCCGUUUGCAAAAUUACCAUCAUCCAGAUUUUUAAUUUUGAGAUGGGAGCCUGAUGAAGAACGGAAUCUGCUACCAGGGGCUCGCGGUGGUGCGAGGGAGGCUGGAGGCUCUGGAGUCCACGACGUGCGCUCUACGUCAAAUCCUGUAAGGAGAGAAUAGGCGAUUCUGGUAUGGGAAUCGGCGAUUCUUCUUGAGUGUGCUCUAGUGUGUGUGGAACUGAUAUUCUGCCUUGGACUGACCCCUUGGGACCCCAUUUAUAGGGUCUUUGGGGGCGCACUCCGCGGCGGGCAUCGCACCCGUGCCAUAAUGGGGCGCAUUAAUGACCCAUUAUAACGCGGGCAGGCGGCGAGUAAUGGUCGCAAAUCGACGAUUCAGGUAGAGAAUCGGCGAAUUAGGGGCAAACUCUACGAGCUCUAAAGGACGAGAUCUGCAGUCUACCAAUACUGAUUAUCUUGGCCUCAACUCGGCGAUUUACCUCUAAUAUCAGCGAUUUGGUAGCCCAACCGGCGAUUUACGUGUUAGACUCGGCGAUUUGACGAUGACCUUUGUUCCGCAUCGUGGGAGCCAUCCGGGGGUCCGACAUAAAGUGAACGGAAUCCUAAUCCUUGUUGAAGGGUGUUGUUGAAAGUGACUGACGUAAUCAGACAUGUAUCACCAGUAUUCCCCCUGAAGAGAGCACAAGAGACAUGCGUGUAUCGUCAGUAUCCCCCUCCAAGCAAGGUUGUGUGUGAUCUUCAUCAAGACCAUAGAGACAAGAUGGGAUAGAAUCAUUAAGGCCACAAAGACAAAAUGAUUCUUGAUCCAUUAAAGCCAUAGCGACAAAAUGGAUCUAGUUCUAAGCCACAGAACUACGUGUUUAUAGUCCAACCUUGAUCAAGAGCGACUUUGAUCCGCAUUGAGGCCAUAUCGACAAGAUGGGAGAGAAAUAUUAAGGCCAAAGCGACAAAAUAAUUAUUGGUCCAUUAAGGCAAAAGCGACAAAAUGAACCCGAUUAUGGCCAAAGCGACAGAAUCUAGUUCUAGCCAAAACGAUAGAACUACAAUUUAUAGUCCAACUCUAAUCAAGAGCGACUUUUAUGUCUGCAACGACGGUUAACCCAUCAAGGCCAAAGAGACAUGAUGGGGUAGGAUCAUUAAGGCCGAAGCGACAAAAUGAUCCUUGAUCUAUUAAGACCAAAACGAUAAAAUAGAUCUGAUUCUGGCCGAAGUGACAGAAUCAUAUAUGCAAAAAAGAACACAUCCUGCAAAAACAACUAAAUCGGUCUAAAACGUAUAUUUUAUUGAUCAAUUUAACUUACCGUGCGAUUAUACCUUUCAUGACAUCCCUCCUUUACUCGAAUGAAUCGAAUUCACUGUGCUCGAUUGCCUAUUUAGUCAACCUCCCAGAGAUAUCGGGUUUGUGAAGUAGACGGCAUUAGGAACACGAUGUCAGAACUAUUAAAAAUUACAGAAUCUUGAACCUGGAAAAUUGACGAUCAGUAGAAACGCACGCACAAGCAGAAACGCACGAUCAGUAGAGAGAAUAACGGAAUGCGAGAUCAGUAUAGAGAAAAUGAGAACUUCGUGGAUUUAACCUUUGGAGAAACACACGAUAAGUAGAGAGAAACGCACGAUCAGUUUCCGUAGAGUAGAGAGAAACGCACGAUCAGUCUCCGUAGAGGAUUUAACCUUGACGUGAUUUCCAGAGUAGAAAAAACGAAAACUUCCGUAGAGAGUUUGAGGAUUGGCGAUUUCCGUCGAGAGGGUUUGGGGAUUGGGGAGGGUUUGGGGAAAGCAAAAAAUGAGGGUUUGGAAACGAGAG